rnacentral:tRNA from 1 species
GGGGGUGUAACUCAGACGUGUAGAGUGCUUGUCUGUCGAACAAGAAGUCGCGGGUUCGAGUCCCGUCAUCCCCG